rnacentral:lncRNA from 1 species
AGAGAGAGAGAGAAUAAAAUCUGACCCCCCAGAUAGCAGAGGACAUUGGUAUGUGGCCCCAGCCACCCUAUUUCCAGAGCCUGCCUGCUUCACCACUGGAUGACAGUGCUUCCAUUAGAUGAGCACUGUGAGAGAGUGCAUGAGCCCAAGCACACAGAUCAGCCUUUUAGGCCUGAGUUCUCACCCCCAGCUCCUGCCCACUCCUUCUCUGUGGACAGCUAAGAGAUCAGGUAAUGUGUGCUCCGAAGCCCAGGACUCCCUCCUGGUCUCAAAGAAGCCCUGAGUACUUCCCAUUCAUUGUCCUCUGGCCUGGCCUGGCUUUCUGACCUCAGAGCACAGCAGGGCCCAGCUGCAGUGUGGCAGGGGUCCCUACCACACUGAGGAAGGAGCAGAGAGUGCAUGUCAGCUGUGGUUAGCUGGAGGGGUCAACACCAGGAUGCAAGACCACAGUCCCAGUCCUGGAAGGGCACAAAGUGACAGCACAAGAGACAGAGAGGACGCAGAAUGGAGAGUGACACUUGGCAUAUAGGAAGCAGGUACACUAGGUCAUGCAGAAGGGUCAAGGAGAUGCGCCCAAGUGCUUGUUAAGAAGCCCAGCCUUGCCACUCACAGGCAGGUUACCUAGACUUUCUAAGGCUCUGCUUCCUCAUCUACAUAAUGGAACUCCAGACUAAAGCACACCCUUCCAAGAGUGCAUGAAAUGGCAGAUCUGGAAGCCGUGGCAAAGCUCCCAGCAGAUGUGAGUUUUAACAGUGUGCUAAUGAUUUUCACAGUCAAGGAGCCUGUCCUGAACCGCCUGGACCAAGAACCUGGAACACCAGCUGUAUCCUCAGGCAUUUGUGAUGGAGGAGACCCCACUGACACAGACUGUCCGCAGCAUCUCUCAGGUAAGAACAGAGAACCUUUGUGGAUUCCUAUCAUGGAACAUGGAAGGAAUUCCCCUCUCUUCCCCCUCUCUGUCUCCUGUUUCCUCUCACCCUCUUCCUCUUUCAGUCCCUAUCUCCAGCUCCUUUGUUUUCUCUACAACUGUUCAAACUCUCUCGCUUGCCUUUUGUCCUUUUCCCUUUCAUUUCCUGCCUCCUCUGCCCCACCAUUGCCCACAGGACAGACUACCUGGUUGCUAUGGGGUUGGUGCCUGCUCUCAUGAGACAAGGCAGGACCAUCUCACUAAAGCCCCGGCUCCAUUUGAAGGCAUGGUCUCAUAUGGCCCUUGCCAAGACCACUAACUGGAAGUCUGCAUGGCCCAUUUCUCUAUCAUCACGUGCUUCGGCGACAGACGUGCCGCUGGGCAACUCUGGGCACUGAAACCUCCAUCUGAAUCAUACUUCUACUGCUGUUGACAGUCCUCAGGCUUCCCUCGGGAGAUCAGAACCAUGGAUGGACAACGGACACCACCUCCUCUUGCCCCAAAUGACUCUGACUCCCAAGGGCCUUCCUAGAAAAUGCCCUCAUUCAACAACUCAGUCCACACAGAUAGGUUUCUGUCCAGGGGUCUUCUUAGAGGCUAAGAAGGAGCCAGCCAGAGCAGCCACAGGGAAAAGAGAGAAACAGGCACAGACAAUGCAGGGGACCACCAUUCCCCCUCAUAAACUAUCAGUGGGACUUAUUGCAGUGGUGGAUGGUGUUAUUACAUACUCGAGACCAGCUCCAGGGUAACCAGGAGGAGGGCAAGUCUGCCACCUGGAAACAGAACUUUUUGGGUUUGGUUACAGAAUUCUGAUCUUGACAGACUAGUCUCUCCUGAAUAGAGUCUUCUAAAUUUUUAUUUUUAUUUUGUUCAUGUAAAUGUAUAGGUGCUUGUGCAUCUGCAUGGGUACAUAUGCAAAUGCUGGUAAGUGUGUGAGCAGAGAGGCCAGAGGUCAACAUCCAGUGUCUCUACCUUACAGUUUGUGACAGGGUCUUUCACUGAACCUAGAGCUCACAACUUUGGCUGGGUCUCUAACAAGCCCAAGAGACCUUCCCUUCCCUACUUCCUCAUUGCAGAGGAGACAGCCAAAUGAACACCCAGACAUACAGACUUCUCAAGGAGGCUCAGUGUCCAUGAAGACUUGGUCUGCUUGCUUGCUGAGUUUCUUUUCUCUUACGCAGUUUAGGACAACAUGCCUAGGGAAUGGUGCUGCCCAUAGUGGACUGUGUCAUCCCACAUCAAUUAACCAUCAUGACAAUUCCUUCCAGACAGGUUCAUGGUCCAACUAGAAUACGCUUUUUACACAGAGACCAGGGUCAGACUCAGGUCCUCAUGCUACACAGUGAGUACUUUACUAUCUGAACCAUCUCCUCAGGCUUCCACAUGUUCUCUGUGGUAGACCUGCUCCAUCAUCCAUCACUCCUCCACUCACUGCCAGGCAUGUUGUUAAGCCUUAUUAGUAUAUAAAUGAAACCCUUCAAAGUGGGGAAGUGUAAAUAGAGUGAUGGGUUUGAUGGGUAACCUACAUGCCUGGAAUGGAGGGCACUCACUAUAGGGAGACUCUAUUUCCUGAGGAUGCCAGGAAGGGCUUCAUUGUAGAGGAGACAGCCGAAUGAACACCCAGACAUACACACUUUUCAAGAAGGCUCAGUGUCCAUGAAGACCUGGGUUCUGGCUUCAGACUUCUCAAACACAUUUAGAAUACAACACCCUUGCCAAAAAUCACAGUCACUCACAGAAACCUAAAAAUGUGUAUAUAACUCUAUCAUAUAAGCCAUUAUACAAUAAACCAUUCAACUGAGACCAAACAUGAUCAUGAGGAAGCAUGUAACAGGAGCCUUGUCCCCAGGGCCAGGGUACAGGGUGAGGGUAGCAAGGUGGAUGGAGACGAUUUGUGUGGAAGAUAGGAUGGUCACUGGACAUGUCAGCUGCUAUUGCUUGCUAGAGACCCAUGUUUUUAGGAACCAAAGAUGCAGAGGACAGAAGAAAAUGAGACUGUAUAGAUUAACAACAGAGCUUCUGCAUCUCAAAGUUCCCUUAGAACUGUAGAGGAUGACUUUGCUCCUGACUCCCUUGUCUGAUCUAGGGGGGGUAUUGUUCUAGCUUUGUGUCUGUCACUGUGAUAAAAAUCCUGACAAAAAGCAAUGCAGGGGAGAAAAGAUUUCAUCUUAUGGUUCCUGCUCACAGGCCACUGUAACAGAGAAGUCACAACGGCAGGAGCUGGAAGAAGCUAGUCAAUCCCAUAAAGAACAGAGAGCAAUAACAGCAUGCAUUCUGCUUGCUUGCUGAGUUCCUUCAUUUCUCUUACACAGGUUAGGACAACAUGCCUAGGGAAUGGUGCUGCCCAUAGUGGACUGUGUCAUCCCACAUCAAUUAACAAUCAUGACAAUUCCUCCCAGACAGGCUCAUGGUCCAACGUGUCAAGUUCACAAUUAAAAACUAACCAUAAGGGCCUGCCAGUGCUCUGUCACCUAGCUGGCUCAUUCUAAGCAGCAUCAUUCUCCAGGUUCUAUGGCCUUGCUCACUAUGGUAAACUCUUGGAGCAUACGUCACAGUUGAUGAAUGUUUUAUAGGAUGGGAAAAGGGUGGAUGGAUAGAUCUGGUGAGUGGGUAGGCAAUUGAAUCCAGUUGCAUGCCAUCUGCUCUCCUGGCACUCCCUGCCCAAACCCAUCUCAUCUUUGCAAACUGGCUCCUGACACUUCUUCCCUGGGACCCUUCCUCCUCAGGUCUUCUGCAUCACCUUUUAGCUCCUGAGAAAUGGGUCUGCCGGCUCACUGGAGACAAACUGGGCCUGAUUCCAAAUUACCCUGUAGUGCCAUUUGUAAGAGUCUUAGCUUUGCAACUGGCUUUUCAUGACAUCUCCCCUCAAGUAGCCUACAAAUCCCCUAAGAAAGAUGCUGUUCUUUCCUCCGAUAUGGUCCUGGACCACUGGGCAAGCCAAAGGAAGAACUCACAAGAACCUCUAGGACAUGCUCAGUCUGGCUCUUCUGCAGCCUCUCCAUGUGAUACCAAUGCAGCUGUCAAUCAUGGUGCCCUUUCUCCAAGCCAUUGGAAUGGGUACGUGUCCAAGCCGGCAAGUCAGCAGUCAUCCUCCGUGCCCAGACAUGGACUCCAGGAUGGGCAUGGGCAUGUGACCAGUUUAGUGUUAUAGGAUGCUUGGCAGAGGGAAAGUCUUUCCCACUAAUGGAAGAAAGCCUGUGCUAUAUGAAGAACAGAGGAAAGCUACAUCUGGGUCUCACAGAAAUAAAGUCAAGAAUGUUAUGACCUGAUCUGCUAGUUCUAGCUGUUCCCAAAGCGGUCUGAACCUAGACUGUCCGAUGGCGGCAGCCUGCUAAUUCCUUUUGCUUAAGCUAUUUUGAUUUGGGUUUCUAAAAAUCAACACAGCACGAAUUCUAUUUGCACCACAAGGAAAGAUGAGAAAUAAACAAGUAGUUUGUGGCAUGUGUGUUGGUGGCCAGCUGUGGUUCCUAGCCCUCUGUUCUUUCCCUCAGGGCAUCCAGGUUCAACUUCACACCAGGCUGGAAAGAAGACGUGAAGUCCAGAAUGGGUGGGAUCUGCAGGAUCCUGGUCUGGCUGGGAGUGAGUGGGGGGAUGGAUCAAGAAGGUCUUCUCAGAGUAUCUUAGCAGUAACAGCUCUU